rnacentral:rRNA from 1 species
GACAGAGGGUGCUAACGUUGUUCGGAUUCAUUGGGCGUAAAGCGCGUGUAGGCGGCCCCGCGAGUCGGGCGUGAAAGCCCUGGGCUCAACCCAGGAAGUGCGUUCGAUACCGCGGAGCUCGAGUCCCGGAGAGGAAGGCGGAAUUCUCGGUGUAGAGGUGAAAUUCGUAGAUAUCGAGAGGAACACCAGCGGCGAAGGCGGCCUUCUGGACGGUGACUGACGCUGAGACGCGAAAGCGUGGGGAGCAAACAGG